AAGUCGUAACAAGGUUUCCGUAGGUGAACCUGCGGAAGGAUCAUUAACACGUAUCCAAACGUUAAAACAACCCUGUGAAUAUUGAAUCUCAGUUCCCCCAGGGCAGAAAAAUGGGCUUCCUCUAGUAAAUCAUUGUCUUAACAAGGUUUUGAGUUAGAGGAUGGCGCACGAGUAGCACCUGUAUUGGGUCGAGCGUUUACAACUAUCCACUCCUGGUGCCCCCAAGCAACCAUCAAUCUGAAAGUGUUUGGUGAAUUGUGCAAGGGCAGCGCAGUCAACGAUCGGUGCUCCCUGUGGGGCCAAGUUCAUUCAGGUUGAACAUGAUGCAUGUCUACCGCGCCCGACGAAAGUCCGACGCACCCCUAACCGAACAACUGUUAACAAUGGAUAUCUUGGUUCUC
rnacentral:misc_RNA from 1 species